GGCCUAACACAUGCAAGUCGCACGAGAAUCCGGCUUCGGCCCGGUAGUAAAGUGGCGGACGGGUGAGUAACACGUGGAUAAUCUGCCCUUCGGCGGGGGACAACAGUCCGAAAGGAUUGCUAAUACCGCAUACGUCUGCGAGGUCUUCGGACUUUGCAGGGAAAGAUGGCCUCUUCAUGAAAGCUAUCACCGAAGGAUGAGUCCGCGUCCCAUCAGCUAGUUGGCGGUGUAAGAGACCACCAAGGCUUAGACGGGUAGCUGGUCUGAGAGGAUGAUCAGCCACACUGGAACUGAGACACGGUCCAGACUCCUACGGGAGGCAGCAGUGGGGAAUAUUGGGCAAUGGGCGCAAGCCUGACCCAGCCAUGCCGCGUGAGUGAUGAAGGCCUUCGGGUCGUAAAGCUCUGUGGGGAGGGAAGAAACCGUGCAUGGCUAAUAUCCAUGCACCUUGACGGUACCUCCUUAGCAAGCACCGGCUAACUCCGUGCCAGCAGCCGCGGUAAUACGGAGGGUGCAAACGUUGCUCGGAAUCAUUGGGCGUAAAGCGCACGUAGGCGGCCUGUUAAGUCGGAUGUGAAAGCCCUCGGCUCAACCCGAGGAAGUGCAUACGAAACUGGCAGGCUUGAAUAUGGAAGAGGGUCGCGGAAUUCC
rnacentral:rRNA from 1 species